UACGUAGGGGGCUAGCGUUGUCCGGAAUCAUUGGGCGUAAAGCGCGCGUAGGCGGCCCCGGUAAGUCCGCUCUGAAAGUCCAGGGCUCAACCCCUGGAAAGCGGGGUGGAUACUGCCGGGCUAGAAUUCGGAAGAGGCGAGUGGAAUUCCUGGUGUAGCGGGUGGAAUGCCGGUAGAGACUCGGAAAGAACACCAGUGGGC
rnacentral:rRNA from 1 species